ensembl:lncRNA
UUUGAAGUCUUUCAUCCCACAGACAGCAAAGCCUCCCUGGUCCCACAUACCCCAAAAGGGCAAGCAUGCAACUCACAGCGCCCAGCAGCGCCUGUGGGACCCCUCCUCCUGCCUAUAGAGGAAGGGGCCCAGUCCCCACUUCUGACAGCAGCACACCAACUGGUAAAUAGCCACCCAGCCCCCACUUUGUCCCAUGGUAAGGCUAAUUUCCAACAGCAGCAUCUCCCUGCAGAAGCAGUCCUGGGGUGGGGAGAUGGGAAGGCUGCUAGAGACAGAAAUGGGGACCAACAGCCCCGGGGGAGCUAAGGGGGAUGCCGUCCAGAAGGGAGGAGAGCUCACAGCUGUCCUUGCAGUGAGUGAGGGCAGGGAUACAGGCAGGAGCAGUGCUUUAAGUCAGGCAGUGCUACGGCUGUGUACUUUUGGCUAAGCUGGUGAGAGAAGCAGUUUGUCAGGAGACAGAAGAGGCAUUCGCGUGACAGAUACUUGCAAGGUUUUCUGCUGUCGUUCUUUCUGCUUUGGUUUUGUUUUGCUUUGAAGUAAUUGCUACACCUCCGAAAAAACAACUGCCUCAUCACGCCGUGAUCUUCCCCUCAAGAAAUCCUCGAUGUUGGCUGUUUCCACCCGGCUCUGCAGAGCCCUCCACGCCUUACAGAGACGAAGUGGGGAGGAUCGUGGCACGGCACUGCCCUCUUUGGGUAAAACCACCCACUGAUCUCCACCACGUUGUGCACACAGCUUGUCCUUUUCUCGCGUCCUGCUGGACGUGAGCAGCUCUGCAUUCCCCUUGCAGGAAGGGUGGCCAGGAGAUGCUGUUCUCCAAUCCCAACCCCAAACCCAUCUGCCAUCCAGAGCCACUGCCAUGCUGCUCUCGUAAGGCUCUGCUCCCCAGUGGGAUGCCUGGUAAAUUGCAGAGCUGCCUUCAUUUUCCCCCUCUGGAUGAAAAAGGCUUAGUUAAAUGACUGCAAAAACGCAGGGUGGGAAGAACAUCCUGGAGCAGCACGGAAACCAAGAGUGGAGGAUGGAAAGGAGAACAGCAGGUGAUGUGGUUGCUGCAGAUCCUACCUUCACACGACCACGCAGACGAGGAUGCAUUAACAGUGGUAGGCAACUGUAAAUCCAGCACGUCCUUAUCUGGAAACACAGGGUUUCUCCAGAUACCCCUGAAAGAGGAAAAAACCAGAGGAGAUCACUGAAAGAAUUCCCUUAGGACCUGAAGAAGAGAUCCGUACACCUCCCACACAUAAGCAUGCAGCACAUGGAGGAGGUGGCACUGCUGCAGUUGGUGCCCGGCUCUGCUGCACCGGUCCCAAACCACCAGCAGGAACAACUGGGUUGGUAAAGGGAGCAGCCAUUCGGCAGCAUCUCCUCUGGGUAAAAGGAAGAGGUCGGCAUCCUGCCCAAACUGGGAGCUCAUGGGUGUAAUAUAGGACCCCUUUACAGCGCUGUGUGUGUGAGCACGGUGUGAGCGCAUGCAUCCACAUCCAUAUAGGAUGCAGAACAAAGCCCCUGCCAUUCCAGUCCGACUUCCAGGCAGAUGAUAAUAAUAGUUCAGCCACGUUCAGCUCCAGCACCACUCAGCAGCAGGUCUCACCAGGCUUUACAAAGGGACAGCCACGUGCCUUUGAGCCGUGCUCGGGUAGAGCCUAUUUGUGGGCUCUUUGUCAGCACACCGCCCUGCUGUAAGCCAUCACCUCUGAGGUUAAUUAGACAAAAUGCUUCAGCGAGGCCACGGGAGGAGCAAGGUUUCCUUUUCUCCACGUUAAGCCCUUUUACCAACACUUCAAUAGAUGCUGACAUCGCUGCGCUCUGCCACGCUACCCAUCGCACCGCUGGUGAUAACAGCAGCUCCAUUGCUGGGGAUGAGGGACAAGCAAACAAGAGAGAAAGCAAUAAGAGCAGAACAUGGUUAGAAAUCAUCGGCUACAGCAGCAGCUCCGGAAGACACAACUGUGCUCAUCCCCACUGCAAUCAACCCAGCACAGCAUCAUAGCCAGCACAGUGCUCCGUGAGCUCCGCAGGGCUGGGGAUGGCUGGGAGCUCCAGGAGCGCGGUGAGGAAAGGACGGCGCUCUCACUUUACCACAACACGACCAGCCGUUCCCAAAAACAGCUUGGCUUCCACGUCCCUGAACCUUGCAGGUGUUUGUUUAACAGUCUGCAUAAAUUGAGGCUAAUCGCAGCUCCGCCAGCUGCCGAGGAGCCCAGCAGCCUGGAGGACGCGGCCCCGUUAUCUCAGUGCGAGCUGAGCGAGCUGCUCCCGAGGGGGACAGCUGAUCCGCUCGGCCCUAAGGGAGCAGCCGACCUCUCACACCCGCAGCCUCAGCGGGGGGAAGCGGAGGACGGAGGCUGAAUGGGAUUAGUGCCGAGAUGGGGGGUGAGGAGCCGCUCGCUGCUGCUGCUGCCAGGGACACAUCUCCGCUGUCCCCUUUGCGCUGAGGGCUGGGCUGGAGGCCACGGCCGGUCUCUGUAGGUCUGCUAUGUACAUAAAGGCAUGAAUAAUAGAUCUAACAAGCCAACAAAAGCACUUUAUCUCAAGCGUGCUUCUGUCAGAAAGCCAGGCUUCUCCAGCACGUGGGAUGGUUUCCAGACAGUGCCUUUUCCUAAGAGCACGGGGGGUUUCCUGGCUUUGCUGCACCCUCCCUGACUUCGCUCGCAGGGAGUGAACACAGGGCAGGGCUUGGCCACAACAGACCCCCCCUGAAUGCCUUUGGCUCACCUCACAGACCUGGCAGGAUGGGGCAGCAUCCCCUGAGCCAGCUCCAUGUGCCACCUGCAGCCCCAGCAGAGCCCGCACGUGGAGAGCACAGCCACCCGCAUGAACAGAUGGUUGGCUUCCCUUCACCUUAAAUAAGGAGCAAGGGCACUUCCUUCCAUCCUGAAGCAGGGGUCAUCUGUAUCACUGAAAGCUGCUUCCCCAUCCGUCCGUAUGCCCAGCAGCAGAAAAGCUGGAGGAAGGGACUCGUGCUCUCGUGCAGCUCCCCAGCAGUUGGGCAGUGCUCCUGCUCCUGGCCAGCCUGCCUUCCCUGAGGGCCGCCAGGGUUAGUGUGCUGUGCAGUGACUGCAGGGACUCUCUAAGGCAUGGGCUGUCCCCUCCCCCUUUGCUUUACGGAAAUACAUAAGGUCUUGACACGAGCAGAGGAAAUUACAUUCCUUUAUCACGGCAGUGCGUGGCCCUGGCUAAGGGCAGGAAGAAGAACACGAGCAACACACCCAGAAUACAAUUCUCCUCUCAACAGUGGAGGUCAGCAUUGAAAAAGCCAGCAGCUCCUUCGCCCCUCAGCUCUCUGUUUCAUUUGCAUUUCAAUUUCUGGAGCUGCUGAACAUCGGCCCCACAAAGGCCAGGCGAUGCUCCGGGCUGGAUUCUUGCUCCACAGGGCAGGCACAGAGAGAAGCCAUCCCUCACAACCCAGUCCCCAUGUCAGGAGGCACCACCAGAUGCACCAGGAGGGAAGGCAGGAGCAUUCUGGCAUGCUCAGCCUGGGCACAAGCAGGUCAUGUUUCUCUGCCAAUACCUGGACCAGAGCAAUGCCUCCUCUCUCCCAUUCCCAACAGGCAGGCAGCGGUCCAAAUUCAGUUUUUAGGCAAUUGGAAAGCCAGGGCUCCCACCCACACCGCUCCUUCCUCGGCUGCCAGCAAGCUCCCAGAAAUUAGGCUGAAUCUCCCUCCAGUACAGAGUUCUCUGCAGCAUCAGAGCAAGGCCCCAGCAAGGGCCUGGGUAACAAAUGGCCCAGCAGCAUGCCAGAUGGCCAAGAAAUCCAGCCUGAACACCCACCCGUUCCUGGGAGCGCUGAAUGCUGCCUCUGCCUACAGACAGGCACGAUAGAUCAAGCUCAACUGGAGGAGAUGGUGAAAUCCACUGUUUAGAACAACUGCUUAUUAGCAGCCUGGGCUUGGCAUGGGAGACCACAGCAGGGCCAGCCCUGCCUGAAAGGCUGCAGCAGCUCCUCCAGCCUCACCAGGGCAAGGAUCCCAUCACAGGUCCUGUGCAGACUCACUCACCCUGAGCCCGGUGCAAGAGGAUCAGCAGCAGCUCCACUGUGCCCUUUCCAAGCCGUCCUUGGGAAGCAUAAGGUGCAGCUAAAGCUUUGAUACUGGAUGAGAGACUUUUUUUGGCCACCAAUCAGUCUCUGAUUUCUUUCCCUAAAAGAGCCAUCUGGGACGUUGUCCUGAAGAUGCAGCUGGUCCAGAAGGCAAGAGACAGUGCAUCAGUACUGCAGGAAACAGGCAAAGCAAGCAGGCUGUUAGAGGAAGGAGUGCUUCUCCAUCCACAAAUGCAGGAAGCUGCUCUCGUCUCCUCACCACUUCCCAGCCUCAGCAGACAUGGGCUGUCAGAAAUGAGAUAAAAUAGGACAGGGGAUCGCAGCAGUUGAAAUCUCUCCUGUGUUUGUCUGGAUACCCUCCAAGAACUCAUCCGAGACGCUGACAGCUGAGGGCUGAGGAUUACAGUGUGAGCGGGGACAGCUCUGCUGCACAGCCCACCUCACCCUGGAGGAGCUGGCAUCUCAAAGGUACAUGGAACAGCGUGCUUUGGAGGAAUUGGACAGGGCUCAGCAUGUCAGAGCUUCGGUACAGCAUCUCUGCAGCUCAGAGCAACAGCUCCUGCCAGAGAAAAAAAAAAAUAGCCAUGAGCCAUCGUGCUGCAAAGAUUCCAUCCCCUCUGCUGGCAGCUCGAAGGACAAGCACGUACUGCCUCGUUUUCUUCUGGCCCCAUUGAUUUUCUGCAGCUCCAUCUCCAGGAGCACACACUGCAGUUUGUUUGGCCUUGCAGGAAUGCUGGGGCAGGAUGAGGAUGCCUACAGAUCGUGCUGGGGGCAGAGAGACAGCAAAAGGUAUCACAGGACAGCUGGGUUAAGACAGAAGAGGGAACAGGCACAGCCAGGCUCAUUCCCACAGCCCAGGACAAGGACUGCUUUGUGCAAAACCAGAGGUCAGUCAGCUCCUAGGACCUCCGAGUCUGGCACAGACCGGCUAGCGGAGCGAGAGCAGAACAGAGAUGUCAAAGAAACAGAAGGAAGAGAUUUAAACAGCCCGAACUUGGUUCCUUCCAGCUUGCUUGGCAAACACAUAGAGCCCGGAUCCUCCUCGCUGCCAUCUCUCCUUCCCUGCUUCCCUGCCAAUGCACCCAUUUGGGAUGCUGCUUCUGCCGCCCACCCAGUGACCACAUUGCUCCACUAAGGCACAGAAAGAAGUCAGGUGAUUGCUUAGGAGAAAUAUAUACACACACACACAAAGAUGUAUGUAUAUGUAAGAGGCCUCAAACUUU